rnacentral:rRNA from 1 species
CCGGCGACCGGCGCACGGGUGAGUAACACGUAUGCAACCUGCCCUCCGCAGGGGGAUAACCCGGAGAAAUCCGGACUAAUACCGCGUGGUACACCAGUGGGGCAUCCCACUGGUGUUAAAAGGAAGUGAUUCCGGCGGAGGAUGGGCAUGCGGCGCAUUAGCUUGUUGGCGGGGUAACGGCCCACCAAGGCGACGAUGCGUAGGGGUUCUGAGAGGAAGGUCCCCCACACUGGUACUGAGACACGGACCAGACUCCUACGGAAGGCAGCAG